rnacentral:lncRNA from 1 species
AUGGAGUCCAUCAUGAAGAAGAUGGAAGACAAACCCAUACUGGCAAUGAUCAUGAUGACCAGGCCAACAAGUAAGAGAGCAAGCAUGAAGAAGCUGAUGGUGAGGCAAUGGAGAGAAGAUGUUAGACCAGGCCUGACUGCAACACAGUGGGUCUCACCAACAAAGUGUAUAUCCGAGAUCUAUAAAGAACUUAUCAAACUCAACACCCAAAAAACAAUCCAGUCAAGAAAUGGGCAGAAGACAUGAACAGACAUUCCUUCAGAGAAGACAUAUAAAUGGCCAACAGACACAUGAAAAAAAUGCUCCACAUUGCUUGACAUCAGAGAAAUACAAAUCAAAACCACAGUGAGAUCCCACCUCACACCAGUUAGAAUGGCAAAAAUU